rnacentral:rRNA from 1 species
UUUAUAUGAGAGUUUGAUCCUGGCUCAGGAUGAACGCCGGCGGUGUGCCUAAUACAUGCAAGUCGUACGCACUGGCCCAGCUGAUUGAUGGUGCUUGCACCUGAUUGACGAUGGAUCACCAGUGAGUGGCGGACGGGUGAGUAACACGUAGGUAACCUGUCCCGGAGUGGGGGAUAACAUUUGGAAACAGAUGCUAAUACCGCAUAACAACAAAAGCCACAUGGCUUUUGUUUGAAAGAUGGCUUUGGCUAUCACUCUGGGAUGGACCUGCGGU